ensembl:misc_RNA Metazoa_SRP Metazoan signal recognition particle RNA
GCCAGGCAUGGUGGCACAUGCCUGUAAUCCCAGCUACUUGGGAGGCUGAGACAGGAGAAUUGCUUGAACCCAGGAGGUGGAGGUUGCAGUGAGCUGAAAUCAUGUCACUGCACUCCAGCCUGGGCAACAGAGUGAGACUCUGUCUCAA